rnacentral:rRNA from 1 species
GACGAACGCUGGCGGCGGGCUUAACACAUGCAAGUCGAACGGAAAGGCCCUGCUUUUGUGGGGUGCUCGAGUGGCGAACGGGUGAGUAACACGGGAGUAACCUGGCCUGGACUUGGGGAUAACUUCAGGAAACUGGGGCUAAUACCUGAUAGGAGCGGCUGCUGCAGGGUGGGGGUUGGAAAGUUUCGGCGGUUGGGGAUGGACUCGCGGCUUAUCAGCUUGUUGGUGGGGGAGUGGCUUACCAAGGCUUUGACGGGUAGCCGGCCUGGGAGGGUGACCGGCCACAUUGGGACUGAGGUACGGCCCAGACUCCUACGGGAGGCAGCAGUGGGGAAUAUUGUACAAUGGGCGGAAGCCUGAUGCAGCAACGCCGCGUGCGGGAUGACGGCCUUCGGGUUGUAAACCGCUUUCGCCUGUGACGAAGCGUGAGUGACGGUAAUGGGUAAAGAAGCACCGGCUAACUACGUG